rnacentral:rRNA from 1 species
UACGAAGGGGGCUAGCGUUGCUCGGAUUGACUGGGCGUAAAGGGCGCGUAGGCGGUCUGUACAGUCAGGCGUGAAAUUCCUGGGCUCAACCUGGGGGCUGCGUUUGAUACGUGCAGACUAGAGUGCGGAAGAGGGUCGUGGAAUUCCCAGUGUAGAGGUGAAAUUCGUAGAUAUUGGGAAGAACACCGGUGGCGAAGGCGGCUCACUGGCUCGUUUCUGACGCUCAGGCGCGACAGCGUGGGGAUCAAACAGG